rnacentral:rRNA from 1 species
AGAGUUUGAUCCUGGCUCAGAACGAACGCUGGCGGCAGGCCUAACACAUGCAAGUCGAACGAUAUAGUGGCAGACGGGUGAGUAACGCGUGGGAACGUACCUUUCACUACGGAAUAGCUCCGAGAAAUUGGUGGUAAUACCGUAUACGCCCUCAGGGGGAAAGAUUUAUCGGUGAAAGAUCGGCCCGCGUUGGAUUAGCUAGUUGGUGAGGUAAUGGCUCACAAAGGCGACGAUCCAUAGCUGGUCUGAGAGGAUGAUCAGCCACACUGGGACUGAGACACGGCCCAGACUCCUACGGGAGGCAGCAGUGGGGAAUCUUGCACAAUGGGCGAAAGCCUGAUGCAGCCAUGCCGCGUGAAUGAUGAAGGCCUUAGGGUUGUAAAAUUCUUUCGUCAGGGAUGAUAAUGACCGUACCUGAAGAAGAAGCCCCGGCUAACUUCGUGCCAGCAGCCGCGGUAAUACGAAGGGGGCUAGCGUUGUUCGGAAUUACUGGGCGUAAAGCGCACGUAGGCGGACUUUUAAGUCAGGUGUGAAAUCCCGGGGCUCAACCUCGGAACUGCAUUUGAAACUGGAAGUCUUGAGACCAGGAGAGGUUAGCGGAAUACCGAGUGUAGAGGUGAAAUUCGUAGAUAUUCGGUGGAACACCAGUGGCGAAGGCGGCUAACUGGACUGGUACUGACGCUGAGGUGCGAAAGUGUGGGGAGCAAACAGGAUUAGAUACCCUGGUAGUCCACACCGUAAACGAUGAGAGCUAGUUGUUGGCAGGCAUGCCUGUCGGUGACGCAGCUAACGCAUUAAGC